CAAGGUUUUUUGGCCUCUCUUUCAAUGGGGUUUUAUUGAGUUUAUCUUGCAUAGGGAUGCAUAUCACAGAAAGGAGGUAUGGUUUAUGGAUAACAUUUCUGAGGUCGGGGGUCCUUUUGACUCAGGGUCUGGUAGACAGGGUGAUGCCAAUCAGCUGUAAAACCUUGCAAAACAAACUUAU